GCGUGUGUGUGUGUGUGUGUGUGUGUGUGUGUGUGGUUCCAGGAGCCGUGGGAUGAGCAGCACACGCCUGCGC
rnacentral:miRNA from 1 species